AUUGAACGCUGGCGGCAGGCUUAACACAUGCAAGUCGAGCGGUAGCACAGGGGAGCUUGCUCCCUGGGUGACGAGCGGCGGACGGGUGAGUAAUGUCUGGGAAACUGCCUGAUGGAGGGGGAUAACUACUGGAAACGGUAGCUAAUACCGCAUAACGUCGCAAGACCAAAGAGGGGGACCUUCGGGCCUCUUGCCAUCAGAUGUGCCCAGAUGGGAUUAGCUAGUAGGUGGGGUAAUGGCUCACCUAGGCGACGAUCCCUAGCUGGUCUGAGAGGAUGACCAGCCACACUGGAACUGAGACACGGUCCAGACUCCCACGGGAGGCAGCAGUGGGGAAUAUUGCACAAUGGGCGCAAGCCUGAUGCAGCCAUGCCGCGUGUGUGAAGAAGGCCUUCGGGUUGUAAAGCACUUUCAGCGAGGAGGAAGGUGGUGAGCUUAAUACGUUCAUCAAUUGACGUUACUCGCAGAAGAAGCACCGGCUAACUCCGUG
rnacentral:rRNA from 1 species